GUUCUAUGCAACCCGUGCAAGCUAGCGCAACCGAAUCAAAAAGAUUUCCUAGGCUCCGCUCAACCGAACCCUCCUCGUUCUAUUUGCGGCCUCCUCGUAGCUCUCCGCUCUUUCACUCCGUCUAUCGGCCAUCACAGUUCUGCAUACUCGUGAGCUUAGUUGGUCAUCUUCGUUUCUGUAUCGAUUGCUCAUCUCCGUUCUCUGCAAUCGGCCUGGUGGCUAUUUGAUUUCUUAAUCCUCAAGCAGGACUGAAAUGAUCAAGGCUCAGUGUUCGUUCUGAAACUAACCGCAAAGGUUUGGAAUUUGCAAAUAUUGACAAGGAGGUGCAGAGCAGGGAGAUCAAAAACCCUAAGCCCCCAAUCAGCAAAAUAGGAUACAAAACGCUACAACUCCAAAGCAAUGACAACCACUUGGAGGAGAAGAUUGGGAAAUGUGAGGUCGUUUGUAGGGAAUUCGAUGGGAGGCCUAAGAGGAGGAAGCAACCUGGCCUCGUGGGUGGUGGCUGGGACCUUAGCCUACUUCCUUUGGGUUAAGCCCUCACAGGACCUCAAGCGAGAACAACAGGAAAGGGCUGCUUUGGCCUCUGCGGAUCCACAUGCCUAUGUAGAGAAAAGGAAACCUGUUCCUGAUCCUCAGGAGACUGGUUUGAUAUACGGAAAUAAGAAUAGAACUCGAAAACCAAAACCGGAGGAAUGACUUGAGACUUGUAAGUUAACAAGUUACACUAUAAUAGCGUUGUUGUCUUAAGUAGCAGAAUUAUCAAUCUGGUUUUUGUAAUUGUAAUGUUUAUUUGUGGAAUGUUAGCCUGAAAUAUCUUUGUAUAUCUUGCAAUAAACUGUAUACAAGUCCAAUUUUGAAGACUUGUUAGCUUACGGUUCUACAAAUAUGACCUGACCAGAAAAGUUAAAGCUUGGGGGUCAUUUCA